AGAGUUUGAUCAUGGCUCAGAACGAACGCUGGCGGCACGCCUAACACAUGCAAGUCGAGCGCAGUCCUUCGGGACCGAGCGGCGGACGGGUUAGUAACGCGUGGGAACAUACCCUUCUCUACGGAAUAGCCUCGGGAAACUGAGAGUAAUACCGUAUAAGCCCUUCGGGGGAAAGAUUUAUCGGUGAAGGAUUGGCCCGCGUAAGAUUAGAUAGUUGGUGGGGUAAUGGCCUACCAAGUCUACGAUCUUUAGCUGGUUUGAGAGGAUGAUCAGCAACACUGGGACUGAGACACGGCCCAGACUCCUACGGGAGGCAGCAGUGGGGAAUCUUAGACAAUGGGGGAAACCCUGAUCUAGCGAUGCCGCGUGUGUGACGAAGGCCUUAGGGUCGUAAAGCACUUUCGCCAAGGAUGAUAAUGACAGUACUUGGUAAAGAAACCCCGGCUAACUCCGUGCCAGCAGCCGCGGUAAUACGGAGGGGGUUAGCGUUGUUCGGAAUUACUGGGCGUAAAGCGCACGUAGGCGGACUUUUAAGUUAGAGGUGAAAUCCUAGGGCUCAACCCUGGAACUGCCUUUAAUACUGGAAGUCUUGAGUUCGAGAGAGGUAAGUGGAAUUCCAAGUGUAGAGGUGAAAUUCGUAGAUAUUUGGA
rnacentral:rRNA from 1 species